CUGCAUGUUUUGGCCCUGGGCCACUGUUGGCCUCUCUGUCUGUAGAGUGGACAAGUACAAACAUGCUAGAUUAAAAAACAUUGAAGUUAACAGGGCCACCAGUCUCUCAAGGUCAGACUGAGUCGGUAGUAUAAUACUUCAACAUUA
rnacentral:snoRNA from 1 species